UAGUUGGUGGGGUAAAGGCCUACCAAGGCGACGAUCUGUAGCGGGUCUGAGAGGAUGAUCCGCCACACUGGGACUGAGACACGGCCCAGACUCCUACGGGAGGCAGCAGUGGGGAAUAUUGGACAAUGGGGGGAACCCUGAUCCAGCCAUGCCGCGUGUGUGAAGAAGGCCUUUUGGUUGUAAAGCACUUUAAGUGGGGAGGAGGCUUACCUGGUUAAUACCUGGGCUAAGUGGACGUUACCCACAGAAUAAGCACCGGCUAACUCUGUGCCAGCAGCCGCGGUAAUACAGAGGGUGCGAGCGUUAAUCGGAUUUACUGGGCGUAAAGCGCGCGUAGGUGGUUAAUUAAGUCAAAUGUGAAAUCCCCGAGCUUAACUUGGGAAUUGCAUUCGAUACUGGUUAGCUAGAGUAUGGGAGAGGAUGGUAGAAUUCCAGGUGUAGCGGUGAAAUGCGUAGAGAUCUGGAGGAAUACCGAUGGCGAAGGCAGCCAUCUGGCCUAAUACUGACACUGAGGUGCGAAAGCAUGGGGAGCAAACAGGAUUAGAUACCCUGGUAGUCCAUGCCGUAAACGAUGUCUACUAGCCGUUGGGGGAUUUGAU
rnacentral:rRNA from 1 species